GCAGCCUCUCGUUAACCACAACAUUUAACAAUGAAGAUUAGUAUUAACCACAUGAAUUCACCUAAUUGUUUUUCACGUUAACAUUUUAUUUAGGAGGUAUAAGGGCUAAUUAUUUGUUAAGGUGUUUCACGAAAGACACUAUAGUGAAGAUGGAGACGAGGGCGGAGUGCAGGGAUGUGUUGGCCGCUAUCAGAGGCUUGAUGACGGCUAAAAAGUGCCCUCUGGUCUCCUGGUGCCCCAACACGGACACACACUUCGCAAAAAAAACCUCCGGAUCUUCUCGGCCCAGAAGCACUUCUCUCAGAAGCUUUCUCACCACAGCUCGGUCGUCUUCUCCGCCGGUGGAUUUGCAUCAUUUCGCAUGGCACACCAGACAACAUAGAGGACUACUAUCAGGUAAAACACACACACACACAUAAAAGGAGGCUUGGUUGUGAGCUCCAUGCAAGAGGCAAGGGACGAUAGCGAGUUCUCUCCCCGCGUGAGAGUGUUGUCAAGCGGCCGACUUUGCCUUUGUUUACACCGCCACCCCACGCACGCCGUGACAGUUAACAGGUGACUCCAUGCACCAGCGAAACCCACCCCAAAAAAAAACAAAAAAAAACGUCAUUUUGAAGCGAGCGGAUCACUUACAUUUCUGCAGCGGCUGCGGCACCGGUCUCUGCGGGCUGUUGUCGUCCACAAAAACAACCGUGGGGAGAGAUCACGCAUUCCUUUUUUUUUUUGUCUUUUUUUGUGUGUGCAAUGAUCCCGCGUGGAGAAGGUGGAGGAAGAGAGGAGGAGAGCGCAGCCAAGUUGUUUAGCAAACAACAGUGUAAUUAAAGCUACGUGCACACGCACAC